CUACGGAACUAUGGUGUGUUGGUGUUGUGUAUCGUUCGUUCCAUCAGUCAGAAGAGAACAGCAUCGUGUAUUCUAUGGUUAAACUAAUUUUAUAGUUUUUACAUUGUAAAUUAAGAUUUUAACAGAUCUUACCUAUUUGAAACGCAAAAUUAAAAGUACCCAGCUUUUUUAAAAAUAGAUUUUGUAUCCUAAACUCAUUUGAGUUUCUGCUCCGUACUCUUCUCUCUUCGAGAUGGGAAUCAAGAAAUGGGAAAGGGAUUUCUUUUUGCCUUGAAAUGUGGACUUCAAAUUAACUGCUCUGGGUGAAAAAGAGAUUUUCUAAGAAUUUUUUAAAGAAAGUAAAGUGCUUCAUAUCUUGGAUUGUGUUUCAAUGUCCUCUGUGUAUUACUUCAGUACAGCCUGAUGGGUGAGAGGACAGGACAGUCUUACAGGUGCCUGAGCCUGAGAAUGGUCUCUUUUAAAACAAAGUUUUUGGUGAUUUUUUUAGAGUUUUUUAAAUGAUUUUUUCAAAACCUUCUUGUCCAGUUAAGCAUAUCCUUCUCUGGACCAAAUUAAAAUCUAUUUUUCUCAAAAUAUAAUAUUU